AUGGCGGGUAAUGGAACACAUGGUAGGGGGAGAGGACAGGUGACGUUCAGCCCAGUAUCGCCUGUUGGCCGUGGCAGAGCAAAAUUUCUAUUUUCUUCUGAUUCAUCCACUCCUAAACCAGUUUUCGAUGAUCUAGCUGCUAAUGAAAACAUUACAGAGACCCCACAAAGUUUUUCCCCCACUCAAGGAUUAAACAGUGAGGGCAAAACAGAGGAAUUUCUGGCAGGCAUAGCAUCCCAAAUUGGCCUCUCCAUAGGAGAAAGCAUAGCAUCUUGCAUUGAGUCACGUUUAGGCUGUGGGACAACUGGGGUUUUGAGAAACGCUUCUAUAGAUCCAUCUCUGCUGAAUGUAAUAGUUAGGUCAGACAUCACAGAGCCAGUAAGUUUUAAAGGGGACAGCCAUGACACCCAUACUGUUCAAGAGUGGGAGGCGGUGAUGUUGGCUUACUUGAAGAAGAAGGGUGUUCCCGUGGCUGAACAAGCUGAUGAAGUGUUGAGUAAGAUCUGUGGAAGGGCACGUGAGGUGGUUAAAGUAGGCAUACGGAGUAAUCCAAGCCUGACACUGACCACAGGCCCAGGUCCCAUCUUUGAAAUACUAAAGCAGCACUUUAGUGACACAGUUUCAUCUGGGAUGCCUCUAGCAGAUUUCUAUGCCACAUUGCCGACCCCAAAUGAACGCCCUUUUGACUACUGGUUGAGACUUAAUAGAGCUAUGGAGGUGACAGAAGACUGCCUAAAGAGACAAAAUAAGACAUUUGACAACCUGUGCCUUGACCUUACUGCCAUGUUCAUCCGCCAUUGCCCCGACCCUGAAUUAUCUCUCUUAUUCAAGUGCAAGCCACUACAGCAAUGGACGGUCACUGAUGUACAUGAAAAGCUUGUUGAGCAUAGUAGGGACCGGAGGCAGGUGUCCCAGCUGAGAGGGGCUACGGCGAUAACUGCCCAGCAGCAGGAAGCGGAGGCCCACACAUGCAGUGUGAAACCUGUCACUGAACAUGUUUUAGCCUCACCGCCGACUCAGGGGAGAGAUGGAGCAGCUGACCGCCUUGACCACCUAAUCACAAUGCUGGAGCGGGUGCUACAACACGGGCCACUUCAGCCUGGACCAGUUAGUAGGAAGGAUGUGAGAAAUCAGCCAAGCCAUAAAGCCAGGGUCAGACAUACAGUGUCUUGUAACGUCUGUGGGGAUGUUGAACACACCACUCACCAGCACUGCCGAGCUAACCACCUGUGUUUCAUCUGCUAUGCACCUGAUCACACACGCAGUAGCUGUCCCAACGCUAUGACCUCAAAGACCAGAGCUUCUAAUCCCACACUUCAGCAGGAGGAAAACUAG
rnacentral:lncRNA from 1 species